GAUGAACGCUGGCGGCGUGCUUAACACAUGCAAGUCGAACGGAAAGGCUCCUGCUUGCAGGGGUACUCGAGUGGCGAACGGGUGAGUAACACGUGGGUGAUCUGCCCUGCACUUCGGGAUAAGCCUGGGAAACUGGGUCUAAUACCGGUUAGGACGAUGGUUUGGAUGCCAUUGUGGAAAGUUUUUUCGGUGUGGGAUGAGCUCGCGGCCUAUCAGCUUGUUGGUGGGGUAAUGGCCUACCAAGGCGUCGACGGGUAGCCGGCCUGAGAGGGUGUACGGCCACAUUGGGACUGAGAUACGGCCCAGACUCCUACGGGAGGCAGCAGUGGGGAAUAUUGCACAAUGGGCGCAAGCCUGAUGCAGCGACGCCGCGUGGGGGAUGACGGCCUUCGGGUUGUAAACUCCUUUCGCUAGGGACGAAGCGCAAGUGACGGUACCUGGAGAAGAAGCACCGGCUAACUACGUG
rnacentral:rRNA from 1 species